AGAAGAACGCGGUUGUAACGGGCGCGCGUGCUGCUCGCUGUGCGCGCGGGGUUUUGUGAAGAAGGACCGAAUUAAAUUCAUUAUUUAAAAAAAAUUCUGGUCUUAUCAACAUAUAAAAAGCAGAGGUUUGUGUUGUGUGCCGUGUUAGUGUGACACGCUUUCAUUGCGAAGGCUUCCAGUAAAUACUGGGUGAUUUAAGGGGGAUCAGAUCACAUCUCAUCUCAUUUUCUCCACUGAAGGGACACUUCUCCAUGAGAGGAGCACCUACUGGCCACUUCGUGUUCUCCCAGCUGCAGAGGUACCCAAUACAGCACUGCACCCAAUUUUAUCUACUGCAAAGUGCACAAUUUGGGACACUCCCCUGUGGGGAUAUUUUCUAAUGAGAGGUGGCUACCCCAAACCCUAACCCAGUGGUCUGCGACCCUGGACUCCUGGAGAUUCCAUGCUUAUCUCUAAUUCAUCUGAUCCAUCUUUGGGAAGAGAUUGAGCAGCAGGUGUGGCAAAUCGUGGUAGCAACUAGGAUCUGCAUGAACGUAGCUCUUCAGGAUCAGAGCUGGAGACCUCUUCCUAAGCCCUAAAUUUCCAUUUUGUGAAAAUUAUGCUUACAUUUUUUGUUUGUUUUUUCUGGGCAUCUUAUCACGUUUACACUAAUAAAUAUCAAACAAUUGUACUGACCAUUUACUUAUGUCCCAUUAUGUACUAUUAAAGGGUCCAUUUCCUACAUC